UACGUAGGGAGCAAGCGUUGUCCGGAAUCACUGGGCUUAAAGAGUCCGUAGGCGGCUUGUUAGGUGAGGUGUGAAAUCCCUCGGCCCAACCGAGGAAUUGCGCUUCAAACCGGCAAGCUAGAGGAGGAUAGAGGUGGGCGGAACUGAUGGUGGAGCGGUGAAAUGCGUUGAUAUCAUCAGGAACACCGGAGGCGAAGGCGGUCCACUGGGUCCUUUCUGACGCUGAGGGACGAAAGCUAGGGGAGCGAACGGG
rnacentral:rRNA from 1 species